rnacentral:rRNA from 1 species
CCUACGGGGCGCACCAGUGGGGAAUAUUGCACAAUGGGCACAAGCCUGAUGCAGCCAUGCCGCGUGUGUGAAGAAAGCCUUCGGGUUGUAAAGCACUUUCAGCGGGGAGGAAGGCGUUAAGGUUAAUAACCUUGGUGAUUGACGUUACUCGCAGAAGAAGCACCGGCUAACUCCGUGCCAGCAGCCGCGGUAAUACGGAGGGUGCAAGCGUUAAUCGGAAUUACUGGGCGUAAAGCGCACGCAGGCGGUCUGUCAAGUCGGAUGUGAAAUCCCCGGGCUCAACCUGGGAACUGCAUUCGAAACUGGCAGGCUAGAGUCUUGUAGAGGGGGGUAGAAUUCCAGGUGUAGCGGUGAAAUGCGUAGAGAUCUGGAGGAAUACCGGUGGCGAAGGCGGCCCCCUGGACAAAGACUGACGCUCAGGUGCGAAAGCGUGGGGAGCAAACAGGAUUAGAUACCCCGGUAGUC